rnacentral:rRNA from 1 species
UACAGAGGGGGCAAGCGUUGUUCGGAAUUACUGGGCGUAAAGGGCGCGUAGGUGGCCUUCUAAGUCGAACGUGAAAUCCCUGGGCUCAACCCAGGAACUGCGUCCGAUACUGGAAGGCUUGAAUCCGGGAGAGGGAUGCGGAAUUCCAGGUGUAGCGGUGAAAUGCGUAGAUAUCUGGAGGAACACCGGUGGCGAAGGCGGCAUCCUGGACCGGCAUUGACGCUGAGGCGCGAAAGCCAGGGGAGCAAACAGG